GAGACGAAGAAGACGAAGAAGACGACAGUCGUCAGCCAUCCCUGGUCAGCUUCUCCUCAAAGUUUAGAAAAUUUCUCAGGACACAACUUUGUACUGAAGAUUCAGCGCAGAAUUCAAUAAUCCUGUGGCUGGACCGCAGCGAGUCCUUUUGCAGUUGUUUCCAUCAAAAUGAUAUCCAGACAUAAUGGAGAUGACAUUUACAUUGUAGAGCUUGGACAAAGUUCACACAGGCUCUGCAUAGGAAUUCAUCAAGGACAUGACUGCUGGGAUCACGCUUGUGGAUGACCGAUCUGAGCACCAUUAGUCUGCAGUGAUGUGAUCCAGGUAAUAGAAGAAGAAGAAAUCUGGGUGAUCUGGGGUUGUAACACGUUGUGUACUGUGUUAGACGAUCUGGGACUGGGACUAACAGAAAUAAACUAAUUCCGGUUUAAAACAACUUGAGUGUUAUGUGGAGAACGAUGAAAAUACAGUUUGUAUGCUUUAUUUGAGCCCAGGGCUGUGUUAGAGAUCGUAAAAAACAGAGCGCGAGAGCUCAACGGAUCACUGUAUGGAUUCAGAACGGCGGGAAUUAAAAAAAGGACCUGCUCUAAACCUGACAGCGUAAGACAUCCAUCAGAAUAUACAUCGAUGAUGAAAUUAGGGAAAAAAAGAUUACUAUUCGAGCUGUGUCUUUUCUGCAUGUUAUAAUGGAAACGAAUGAGCAGCACAGAUGAGCACCUCCCUCAGAGUUCUUCUGGAGCGCGUAACUUAACAUUACAUUUGAUCCCCCCUUAAAUAAUGCGUUUUCAAAUGUAGCAAAGUACAAGUACAAAAAGUAGAAAUACACAAAAAAGUUACUCAAUUCACAGUAACGCAAGUAAAUGUAAUUCGUUACUUUCCACCUCGGUGUAAAAUAAAUGGCAUACUUUUACUGCUGCUGUGAAGAAUCGGCUGAGAGAGAGAGUAACAGUAAUAUUAUGAAUAUCACUAAUAUUAAUGUUAGAAUAACACUUUACUAUUAAGCUACAUUUGUAAACAUUCAUUGGGUAACCUGACCUAACAGUAUUAUAACAUUAUAAUAAUAUAAUAAUAUAAUUCAGUUGAGUUCACUGAAAUAAGAUAUACAUUGCAAUUAAGUGAUUAACCGAGUGAUAAUUGAGCUUUAGUGAUGAACAGCUGCUGUUAACAAACAGAAUCACUGAAGAAAAGAGAAACACAAGAACUACUACAACUGACUUCAGACACAGACUUAGAUGAAAUCAACUGAAAUAAAAUACAUGAAAUCUCUCAAGAUCUGAUUAAACAACCCCACAAACAGCAUCACCAGCUCCACUUAUUAAUAACCAGACUGACUUUAUUUCUGUCAGACGUCUACAGAAGAUCUUAUUGAGAAUGAACUAAGGUUUAGAUGUUGAUUUAUUGUUUCAUUUGAAGUAACCAUGUUAGAGAUCAGUGUUUGCUUUAGUUGGGCUCUUGACCCUUGAUUUCUGUCUUAGUCUUUUCUCUGGCUGUUAUAACCAUGUGUUUCUAAAACACAUUUGUUGUAACUCAAUAGCCCAGACAAUAGUCUGACAGAAAUAAAGUCAGAUCUUUGUGCUUCAAUGUGCAUUCAUUCAUACUUUAUUAUACAGAUGUACAGUGUACACUUUUUUUUUUGUAACUAAAUGGGAUUGCUUUUGCAAUAUCUUUGUUUCUCAUUUUGACCAAUAACUUGCACUAUGGUGAGGGGAGUGCAUAUGAACUUGCAAGGUAUAAUAUUUUGCCUUUUAUUUAUAUAAUAUAUUUUUUUCAAUGAUCAGUUGAUGUGCUGACGGCAAAUUGCUUGUUCAGGUUAAAUGUAAAUGAAAUUUUUGUCUCUAUCAUUUAAUAAUUUUUUUUUUUUUAAAGUGUCUUGUCAUCUUUUUGCUUAGGUUUAUUGAUCCAAGUAAAAAAAAAGAAAAAGAAAAUCCCAGUUUACACAACAUGAUUUAGUUGACUGGACUAGGAAAUAAUAGUCAAGUCAACUUAAACAAACUUGUUACCUGGACUAAUUAGACGGUAAUGGGAAGUUGUUUCAACAAGAAAUAAAUUGUCAAGAUAACAAAAAAAAAAAAAAAUAGGCAGUGGGGUAACAAGGUAUUUUUAGUUGACUCAACAAAUUAUUAUUAUUUUUUUUCAGUGCACUCAUAACAUUGUGUUUUAAUGGUGCAUGUACUUUUUAAAUAACCAUAACUUGCUCAAUUUUCUACAGAUUUUCAAACUGUUUGGUUUGUUAUAAAUGUCUGAGAUGUACUUAUCAGAGAUGUGUGACACUGCAUACUUAUUCAUAAGUAUAACCAUGGACUUCCAUAUGAAAAUGACAUUGAACAGAUAUUUAUGUUACAUCAAUAUAUAGGCUACUAAAACUCAGUGUACAGAAUGGCAACAUUAUAAUAUAUAAUAUUAUAAUAAAAUAAUUUGAAUUAUUACAUGUUUAUUUUAAAGGUGUCCUAGAAUGGACAUGAAAUAAAGUGA